rnacentral:rRNA from 1 species
GACGAACGCUGGCGGCGUGCUUAAUACAUGCAAGUCAACUUGACUUUAGAUAGCAAUAUCGAAAAGUAGGGUGGCGCACGGGUGCGUAACGCGUAGGUAAUCUGCCCUGAGGUCUGACAUAACCCGUCGAAAGGCGGCUAACAUCAGAUGAUAUAUAAUCACGACAUCGUGGAAAUAUCAAAUCUUCGGAGCCUUGGGAUGAGCCUGCGUCUGAUUAGGUAGUUGGCGGAGUAAUAGCCCACCAAGCCUACGAUCAGUAGCUGGUCUGAGAGGAUGAUCAGCCACACUGGAACUGAGACACGGUCCAGACUCCUACGGGAGCAGCAGUUAAGGAAUAUU